rnacentral:tRNA from 14 species
GGCUGGGUAGCACAGUGGCCAUGCAUCGGAUUGCAAAUCCGCGGACGCCGGUUCGAUUCCGGCCUCAGCCUCCA